AACGAACGCUGGCGGCAGGCCUAACACAUGCAAGUCGAACGGCAGCACAGGAGAGCUUGCUCUCUGGGUGGCGAGUGGCGGACGGGUGAGGAAUACAUCGGAAUCUACCUUUUCGUGGGGGAUAACGUAGGGAAACUUACGCUAAUACCGCAUACGACCUUAGGGUGAAAGCGGAGGACCUUCGGGCUUCGCGCGGACAGAUGAGCCGAUGUCGGAUUAGCUAGUUGGCUGGGUAAAGGCCCACCAAGGCGACGAUCCGUAGCUGGGCUGAGAGGAUGAUCAGCCACACUGGAACUGAGACACGGUCCAGACUCCUACGGGAGGCAGCAGUGGGGAAUAUUGGACAAUGGGCGCAAGCCUGAUCCAGCCAUGCCGCGUGGGUGAAGAAGGCCUUCGGGUUGUAAAGCCCUUUUGUUGGGAAAGAAAAGCAGUCGGUUAAUACCCGAUUGUUCUGACGGUACCCAAAGAAUAAGCACCGGCUAACUUCGUGCCAGCCGCCGCAGUAA
rnacentral:rRNA from 1 species